GUGUAGGAGACUUCAGCAGCACGUAUACUAAAAUUGGAACAAUACAGAGAAAUUAGCAUGGCCCCUGCACAAAGAUUGGCAUGUAAAUUCAUGAAGCAUUCCAAACAAAG
rnacentral:snRNA from 1 species